rnacentral:rRNA from 1 species
UACGGGGGGGGCAAGCGUUGUUCGGAAUUACUGGGCGUAAAGGGCUCGUAGGCGGCCAACUAAGUCAGACGUGAAAUCCCUAGGCUCAACCCUGGGAUGCCGGUGGAUACUGUCGGGCUCGAGUCCGGAAGAGGCGAGUGGAAUUCCUGGUGUAGCGGUGAAAUGCGCAGAUAUCAGGAGGAACACCAAUGGCGAAGGCAGCUCGCUGGGACGUGACUGACGCUGAGACGCGGAAAGCGUGGGGAGCAAACAGG